UGCAUGUGAAAGUAUAAAGUCCAAGAAGGAUGAAACUGCGAACGGCUCAUUAGAACAGUUAUAGUUUCUUCGAUUAGUAAGUACAAGGAUAGCUUUGUGAAUGAUAAAGAUAAUACUUGAGACGAUCUUGGAUGUAGAGACACAUUCAGGCCUUUGCAUCAUAUGAUGGUGUGAAGAGAAAGGAUAUCCAAACUGAAAGUGGGUAUCAUGACAAUUGUAGAAUAGCGAUAUUUAACAAGUAAUCGAUGAGAAUAUCUGAUCUAUCAACUAGUUGGUAGUAUCGAGGACUACCAAGGUUAUAACGGAUAACGAGGAAUUAGGGUUAGACAUCGGAGAGGGAGCUUUCAAGAUGGCUACCACUUCCAAGGAAGGCAGCAGCCGCGUAAAUUACCCAAUUUCAACAGAUAGAAGAGGUAGUGACGACAAAUAACUCACGACAUCCGUAAGCAUGUCUUGAAGGAAUGAGUAAGAAGCAAAGAGUCUUACGAAAUCAAUUGGAGGGCAAGUCUGGUGCCAGCAGCCGCGGUAAUUCCAGCUCC
rnacentral:rRNA from 1 species